rnacentral:tRNA from 1 species
GUCGAUGUGGCAGAAUUUACUUGUGAAGAGUUUAAGUCUCUUUUAUGUUUUUACCUUCGACU